UGCGUCAUUCAAUGGCUUCCUUUGUCUCUCUUUUUUUUUUAAUAUAAAUGUCAGGUGGGCGUGGAGACGGAAGUAACAGUGGCGAGAGGGUAGCCAAAGAAGAGAGCUCUCAAGAAGUUCAGUUUUAGAGGCGUUUAUUUAGAUGCUCUCCUUGACAUGUCCACCGAUGUACUUGUCAAGCUCUUUCCCGCCAGAGCUGGCUGCAGGGUUUUGGGUUUGUUGCAACGACGGGUUUCAAAGAGGUGUGAAGAGGAAGCCAAUGGCAUCGAUCAAGAAAUUGCGUAAAGCUGUAAGAUAAUUUCUUUUCUUCUAUAUCUCUCUGUAUUUGUUUAUGACUUCAUAAGAUAGCAAUUCCCACUGUGCAAUUUGGUAUUGAGUAGUGUUAUCAUGUGUUCAUUUCACAUUAUGGGAUGCGUUUUCGUUUCUUUAUCUCUUCACUCUUUGUCUCUUGUUUGUGUUGAUCAAGAUCGAUCUGCAAUUGCAAUCAUGGUGCUCGAGAUUGGGAUUUGUGACUGAUUGGUGAUUUGAUAAAUUUGCUGCUGCUGGUGAUUUUUUUCUUCUUCUUGUACAUGUUUACGCUUUCGUAUCACGAGGCUUGAAAAUUGUGGCUAGUGCAUGACAUAGAAUGGACCAAGUGAAGUCUGGUGGUAAGGCUACAGACUACAGUUGUGACAAAAAAGAAACCAAAAUAAAUAAUAUUCGUGGACCAUCAAUCGUUUGUUAAUUUGCUAGAAUCAGCUAGACAGGAUUUUGAGGAAACCAUGCUUAGCUUUCUUGCUGUUUCUCUCAGCUAUAAAUGUUUGAUAACAUGUGAAAUCAAGCAUUUAUCCUGGUUUUCUGCUUGAGAAAACAAGCAUCGAUCUAGAUGUGCUCUGAAGCUCCCUUCUAAUGGCUUUGUAUACCACUCCUUGCCUACUCAUAGAUGUUUGUCCCUCGAAAGUUGGAGAGAGAACAUCUAUACUGCAAACACAUGGCACAUAUUCAGUUUUCACAGAAAAAUCAUGGCUGGUGAUAAGCAUUGAUUCUGCUAAACACAACUUGACUUGAAGAGUGCCAUAUACAGAUCAAAAAACACUGCAGAAGGUUCGUACGAUCAGCCCCAUUUUGGUAUAUGUUUUUAUGUGGAUGAACAAAUUGCCUCUUAAGUUUCUUCAAUGAGGCAAUGGUCACAUGAAUAUUGCUCUCAAAUAUUAUUAUUUUUUAACAAAAUUAAUGUACAUUAAUUGUGAACUACCCGCAGUGAAACUUGGACAACCAUUUGGUUUUUUGCUAAA